rnacentral:lncRNA from 1 species
CCCAUCUUUUGUCCCCUCGACUCCCUCUGUGUGAUUUUCAACCUUGCCUGUGAGAUGGACUCACUGAUGGAGCUCUUCAUUUAUCUAUAGUGGGAUCUACGUCAUGUACAAAUGUCUCCAGUGACUCUAAUGAGAAUCUCUGCUUUUCUGGGGAGCCUUAACAUAUGGCAUUUGGGUUUCUUCCUCCCUGCUUAAGGUUCUAGUUAAACUGGAUGGAACGUGUCUACGGUAUCCAGAUUGU